rnacentral:rRNA from 1 species
UACGAAGGGGGGCUAGCGUUGCUCGGAAUCACUGGGCGUAAAGCGCACGUAGGCGGAUUGUUAAGUCAGGGGUGAAAUCCUGGAGCUCAACUCCAGAACUGCCUUUGAUACUGGCGAUCUCGAGUCCGGGAGAGGUGAGUGGAACUGCGAGUGUAGAGGUGAAAUUCGUAGAUAUUCGCAAGAACACCAGUGGCGAAGGCGGCUCACUGGCCCGGUAC